rnacentral:siRNA from 1 species
ACGAGUGUGAUCAUGGUUGGCCA